rnacentral:misc_RNA from 1 species
UUUCCGUAGGUGAACCUGCGGAAGGAUCAUUGAAUCGAUCGAACCCACACAGUGAACCUGCUCGUACCCCCACGUGUGAGGCCAAUUUGGCUUCGCCUGGGCGCCCGGGGUAACGCACAAGAACCUCGUGUUUCUCUGUGCCGGGCGGGCGAGGGACGCUUCUGCGCCCCUCGUCGGCCUUUACAUUUUCCACACCAAACCCCAAACACUUCUGAAGCUUGAAAUCGGCGCCGCACGUCGGCACCGACCAAACCUGAGACAACUCUCAACAACGGAUAUCUUGGCUCCC